rnacentral:rRNA from 1 species
GACGAACGCUGGCGGCGUGCUUAACACAUGCAAGUCGAACGAAGAGCGAUGGAAGCUUGCUUCUAUCAAUCUUAGUGGCGAACGGGUGAGUAACGCGUAAUCAACCUGCCCUUCAGAGGGGGACAACAGUUGGAAACGACUGCUAAUACCGCAUACGAUCUAACCUCGGCAUCGAGGAUAGAUGAAAGGUGGCCUCUACAUGUAAGCUAUCACUGAAGGAGGGGAUUGCGUCUGAUUAGCUAGUUGGAGGGGUAACGGCCCACCAAGGCGAUGAUCAGUAGCCGGUCUGAGAGGAUGAACGGCCACAUUGGGACUGAGACACGGCCCAGACUCCUACGGGAGGCAGCAGUGGGGAAUCUUCCGCAAUGGACGAAAGUCUGACGGAGCAACGCCGCGUAAGUGAUGACGGCCUUCGGGUUGUAAAGCUCUGUUAAUCGGGACGAAAGGCCUUCUUGCGAAUAGUGAGAAGGAUUGACGGUACCGGAAUAGAAAGCCACGGCUAACUACGUG